GAACUGUCUCUGUAGAACCAAACAUGAAAGGUGCAUGGAAAUGCCACUGUAGAUAGGCUGGAAGGUCUAUACAGAGCCAUGGGUUGGAAGACAUGUGCUAGACUUGAAGGGUUCCAGAACAUCUGAGAGAUGAAGUAUCACAGCCUUGCUUUUUGUUUUGUUCUUAACAGGUGAAAAAGUUGAAGCUUUGUGUUAUUAAGAGAUUUACUGAAGCCACGUUCCUGACAUAGCCCCAAUGUACAUGCAGCACGGCUCCCUCCAGGGCCUGUUGCGGUCACCCAGCUCUUGCUCCAGCCAAGCCUCAGCCUUCUCUCUGAUGGAGAUUUGAAGAUAAUGCUUCACUGGUUCAGAUGAGUACCUACCUACUAAUGGCCAGGCACAGCUGCAAACCCGUGAUCCCACCCCAAAUCACCAUAAUUGUCUCCAGGAUGAAAGAUAAACUCUCUUCUUCAAAUUUAAAGAACAUGAUAUACAGUCAUUUGUUGCUUAACAAUGGAGAUAUCUUCUGAGAAAUGUGUUGUUGGUGAUUUCAUCAUCAUGCCAACAUCAUAGAGUGUGCCUCCACAAACCCAGAUGUAUAGCCUACUACACACCUAGGAUAUUGCUCCUGGGCUACAAACCCGCACAGCAUGUUACUCUACUGAAUACUGUCAACAACUGUAACAGAAUGGUAAGUGUUUGCGUAUCUAAACAUAGUGCAGGUACAGUAAGAAUGUGAUAGUAUA
ensembl:lincRNA